UACGAAGGGGGCGAGCGUUGUUCGGAAUUACUGGGCGUAAAGCGCACGCAGGUGGAUUGAUAAGUCUGGGGUGAAAUCCCGGGGCUCAACCUCGGAAUUGCAUUUGAUACUGUCUAUCUUGAGGCCGGGAGAGGUGAGUGGAAUUCCUAGUGUAGAGGUGAAAUUCGUAGAUAUUAGGAAGAACACCAGUGGCGAAGGCGGCUCACUGGCACGGUACUGACGCUCAGGUGCGAAAGCGUGGGGAGCAAACAGG
rnacentral:rRNA from 1 species